rnacentral:lncRNA from 1 species
GCCCAGGGGCCCGGCGGCAGAGUCUUCCCAGCUCGCAGUGGGGUGAUGGGCCACUGCCCGACCCAUAGAGGAGAAUGGGAUAGCCUUCUGGUCCUCUGGAGUACGGAGGACAACCACCGCCCCGGCCAGGCUAAGGACGGAAAGACACUAAAAAAGAAUUGUGACACAGCUCUUCUCAAAGGCGGCUCUUUGGCUCAAACCUGGAGAUAGGAAGACCCGAGUCCAGCUUCGAGUCCCUGUUUACCUCAGUUUCCUCAUCUGUAACGUGAGCUGGAGAAGGACAUGACAAACCACUCCAGAAUCUUUGCCAAGAAAACCCUGAAAGUCAAACUUGACUGAAAAAUGAGUCCGAAACAAGGACCGUCUCCUACCUCCCUCUGAGUAUGAGAGUAUAACGCAGGACUAGCCCGUGACGCAGACAAAGGGAGAAUGCUGAAGACUCUGGGGAAAGUGCUUCUAAGAGAGUGGCAGCAUGUAAUGGACUUGUCUGUGUAGACAUUCCAUAAUGAGUUCCAGUCUGCUGAAUAGCAGCAGCCCCGGAGGUUGGGGAUGCCUUCAAGCAGGCAUGUGUGUGUGUGUGUGUGUGUGUGUGUGUGUGUGUGUGUGUGUGUGUGUGUGUGUGUGUUUCGGCUUCUCUUCUCUUGGACUGGCUUCUCUUUGAAGGACUCUCCCCUCUAGAUAGGAGACACAAUGCCAUCCGCUCGGACCCUCUCUCCAUAGCCCUAUGAACAGUAGCCUCGCCUCUGGGCCUCGUUCUUCCCUUUGGGGGGAAGGAAAUUGGGCGCUUUGUGAGUCUUGAGAAGUCAGGACACACCACUCUGCCUGCUUUUUAAUUAUUUAUUACCUUACUUAAUCCCCAUAGCAAUCCUGUAAAAAGACGCAGGACAGGGGCUAUUCUCCCUAUUUAACACUCAUCCAGAAUCCAAGACUCUGGGAAUGAAGGCCAGAGGCAACUGGGAUCCAGUUGUAAAAGUGGAUAGAGCACCAAGUCUGGCUUGGGUUCAAAUCUAGCCCCAGACACUUCCUAGCAGUGCGGUCCUAGGCAAGUCACUUAACACAUUUGUCUCCCCUUUCUCCUUUUGUCUUAGAGUGGUUACUAAGACAAAACCUAAUUAACAUGAUUUAUUAUAUGUAAUAUAAUUAUUUACUAUACUUAAUACUAAAUAAUAAAACCCAAAUAAUAGUAUUUAUUAUAUUUAUU